UGUCCUAGGCUCCGUGGCUAGUGGAUUGCCAGUUGGCUGGGAUCUGAUGUUAGGAAUGUGGGGUCUUUGGGGGAACUGCCCUCAGCUGCCAAAAUGGUUCUAAAUACAUGAAAAGUAGGUUAACUUGCUAUACUCCUUGCGUUUAUUCUUCCAGCUGAAAUUUUCUUGAUUUUUUUUUCCCUUUCAUUUUAUUAGGUUAAUAAAACUUGGUUUUCGAGCGUUUCCCUGCCCCAGGAGGGCAGUGGGCCCCAUGUCCAAUUCAUCAAGUGCCUAAUGAGUGGCCUCGGAGGUCCCGGCCCAUCCAUUCCAGGAGCUCUCUCUGCCUCGUAAAGCUCAUUUCCCUUUGCCAAGUUGUCGGGACCCUGCGAGCUCCAGGCUUGGGUGACGUCUGCCCCCAACACGGAGGGGAAGCUAGAAUCUGGGCACCAGGAACUUGAGCUAGUGAUUUUGCCAACUUCCUGGAUGUUCACUCGAGUUCUGCACAAAGAGCCACAUUUCCUUCUGGAACCAGCACCGGGACCCAGACAGAGGAGCGGACACUGGAAACUGUGAGUAUUCCAGUCUGUCCUGCGGCUCUGGCCCUGGUCGUCCCCUCCCGUCAGGCCUCCCCU
rnacentral:lncRNA from 1 species